rnacentral:rRNA from 1 species
AGUGAUUCCUACGGGAGGCAGCAGUGGGGAAUAUUGGACAAUGGGCGAAAGCCUGAUCUAGCAAUGCCGCGUGAGUGAAGAAGGCCUUAGGGUUGUAAAGCUCUUUUAUCCCGGGAUGAUAAUGACAGUACCGGGAGAAUAAGCUCCGGCUAACUCCGUG